rnacentral:rRNA from 1 species
UCCCAAACUGGGAUUAGAUACCCCACUAUGCUUAGCCCUAAACCUAGAUAGUUAGCUCAAACAAAACUAUCCGCCAGAGAACUACUAGCAACAGCUUAAAACUCAAAGGACUUGGCGGUGCUUYWYAUCCMYCUAGAGGAGCCUGUUCUAUAAUCGAUAAACCCCGAUAAACCUCACCAUCUCUUGCUAAUUCAGCCUAUAUACCGCCAUCUUCAGCAAACA